AUUGAACGCUGGCGGCAUGCCUAACACAUGCAAGUCGAACGGGGCAGCAAUGCCUAGUGGCGGACGGGUGAGGAAUACGUAGGAAUCUGCCCUUAAGUGGGGGAUAACCAGGGGAAACCCUGACUAAUACCGCAUGAUCUCUUCGGAGCAAAGAGGGGGACCGCAAGGCCUCUCGCUUCGGGAUGAGCCUACGUCUGAUUAGCUAGUUGGUAGGGUAAAGGCCUACCAAGGCGACGAUCAGUAACUGGUCUGAGAGGAUGAUCAGUCACACCGGAACUGGGACACGGUCCGGAAUCCUACGGGAGGCAGCAGUGGGGAAUAUUGGACAAUGGGCGCAAGCCUGAUCCAGCAAUGCCGCGUGUGUGAAGAAGGCCUUCGGGUUGUAAAGCACUUUAGCCUGGAAAGAAAAAACUUUGGUUAACACCCAAAGUCUUGACGGUACUAGGAGAAUAAGCACCGGCUAACUCUGUGCCAGCCGCCGCAGUAACAC
rnacentral:rRNA from 1 species